GGGAGGUCGACCGCCGGUGGUGGCGGCGGCGCCGUCGGCCUCCAUGAGGUGCAGUCCCCGGGGCCGGAGGGGGUCUUGCUGCUGACGUCAUCCAGAGUCCAGCUUACAUUCCUUCUGGGCCUGGAUCGGACCUGUCGCUGUCAGAUCCGUUGGGCACAGCCCAAUGGAUGGCUUCGGCUCUCUGCCUCUAGAUGAAUCCCCAAAACCUUUCCUCCUUAUAAUCCUCUCCAUCUCCAGCUCUUUCUUUCCACUUCCAACAUCUCUCUCUCUCUCUCUCUCUUUGUUGCAGAGUGGGAGAGGGAAGAAACGCUUCAGAAGAUGAGACGCAAGCGCGCGUAUCUUCAAGGUCAACUUGAAGAGGCCACCAUGGGUGGAAUCUUUGCUGGAUUUGAAGCAAAAGCAGCAACAUGGAGCUCUUUAGCAAUGGAUGCUUGUUCAUGCUAAUUUGGCGCUAUCCUAUCUGAGCUUUUUCCCCAACUACUCCUCUUUUUUCAUUUUUCCGUUUUCAAAUUCUCGCCCCCCGUCCCGUUCCACCCUUCUUGACCUUGUAAGACCUUUUCUUGACCUUGUAAGACCCCCCUCCGCUCCCGCCCCCUCUCUUCUCCUUCUGGUCCCGGGCUCUGAAUCGCGAGCGAGCGAUGUAGAGUGCCAUCGCCUGCCUUCCCCGUUCCCACCCAACUCAUCUUCUCCUUCCUUGUCUAUCCCUCCUGAGCUACUCCGUCCCGAAAUAAACAAAAAGAAGGCCGAACUCGCCCAUAGCUUUUCUCUCUUGAAACAAGCUUAUCCGCCCGGCAUGCAGACUUAAUUGCGACCCGGAGCCUUUCGUUAGCCUCUACAACAUGUGAAAAGAUUUAGGGAAGGAUGAUAAAAAGUGUGAGAUUAUUACUAGGGUCUUUUCUGGUUUUCUGUUCUUAGCUAGGAGUCGAGACUAAUUGCUGUUGCUGUUAUUCUUGAAAGGUUAUAUGGCGUGUAUGCCCUUUUCGUUGUUGUGUGAAGGGCAAUCGAUUGCAGUGUUUUUCUUUUUUCCUUUUUUGUACUUGUAUGGGAGGCAGAAACAUGCGGUUGCCAGGGGCAUCAGUUUCGUUGUUUUAUAUGUUGUUGGGAGAGCCUAAAAUUCAAAAAAAGAAGAAGGAAAAGAUAAAAACAAAAACAAAGAAAGAGUGCGUGCAGAUCAGAAUAAAUAGUAUUCUCUCAGAUCUCUCUCUGGUGAGAGCUUCUCUUCCUCGUGACCAUUCUUAUGUUAUGUACUGUAUUAUUGGAA